CAAGAGGUUUGUGCAGCAGACAGUCUAGAAUGAAGAAAAGACCAUAAUUUUUCACAGCCCCGAAAAGUUUACCUGAAAUUUCUGGGAUUUUGGAACAGGUUUGUGCAGAAAGAGAAAACCCAUGCAGACAUAGGAAGAACAUGCAAGCUGGCACACAGGCAAUUAUCCGAUGACGGAAUUGAACUCGGGUAUCCAACACUGCACUAAAUAAAUACACGCCUUGUUGACUGAUAGUCCACUUGAACAAUGACAUCUUGACCAGGUCACAGUCCAGCCUGAAUUCUGGUGCAUGUGAGUUUGGAUGUAUAUCACGAACCAUUCCCUGGACUUUGAAUGCAGCCAUAAAGCCUCCUGUGUUUUGACCCUAAAGAAUAUGCUGUGGAUCACUUCUAAAACAGGACUUCAGAAAGAGAGUUUGGAGAAAUACAGGGCCGCUUAUUUUCAAAAGGGAAAAGAAAAUAAGAAAAUUAAGAAUGAUUUCCAUUAUGAAAAAGGAGAGGGGGCAGUAAAAAUAAUUCAGUUCACCUCUCAUUUUUGCUCAGUGACUGCAUUAUACAUAACAGCACAG